UCUCGGUUGCGCCUGCGUGUGGGGCCCUAGUUGCCCUCCCAGGCGCCGGAAAGGCUGGCAGCCGGGGCCGAAGUUUUGGCGGCUGUGACGUGCCUCAGGUUACUGCGGUGACCAGCCUAGGCCAGGACUCCUCUGCAGGCCUCACUUUUUCCCUCUGUGAGACAACAAGCUAUGGUUUCUUCCAGCCCAGUGGUUCCAGUGCCUUCACCUCACUUCCACCAGCCCCUGCUGAGCCACAGGGCAGAGAAGGAUCGACAAUGUGUCACAGUCUGUUGUUGCCGGUCCUGCCUGGAGAAGAGGGUUCCUGUGCCCCAAAGGCUGGCAGUGUCAACACAGCAUGACCUGGGAAAGCCGGCUGAGUCUCCCCUCCUGCAUGGUUUGUGAUGUUCAGAAUCCGUAUCAGGGACGCCCAGCCUGGCCUCCGGCCCUGGCCUUGGAGGGCUGUGGGGAGCUGGCUGAAGGCUGCUGCUGGGUGCUGAUGUGGCAGUUCUGAUGUUAACAAUGUGUGCAGAUGCCAGUCUUUCCAGAUGGCCAUAGGCUUUGCGGGGCCGGGGGAAGAGCCUGGCAGGUAUCUGCUGUCCUCGGUGCUGGAGCAGUCAAGAGGUUGUGGCAACAGAGCCAGGCAUGGGCUGAAGGCCUAUGCCUUGCCAGCUGUGUCACCUUGCUGGGUCAAGCUCUGAGCUCCCGAGUCACAUUUUGUGCUGGCUGGAGCUGAUGUUUGCUGCCUGUUUCCUGUGGGCCACCGAGGGCUCUGCUGUGCACUGCCCCCGAGUGCAGACCUCCUCUGCAGGUGGAGAAACUGAGGCUCUGUGAAGAUUCUGACUGUGUCCGAGUCCAGCCUAGGAAACUAUGUGGGGCUGGUGUGAACCUGGUGGGCUGCCCCAGAGCCCAAGUGCUAAUUGUGGACCCCGCAGCCUCUCUGACAGCGACCACAUCUGCCUGCCAGGAAUGCUGUGCUAAUGGAAGUUGAUGGCUGUGUGGUGCCAGGUGUCCACGUUCGGUAGGUGCUGCUUUAUGAUCGCUGUCAUUGUCACCUCCACCGCUGUCAGCCUCACUCCUGAGCUCUUUCCUUCCUGCUCUGACCUGCAAAAGUCAGACAUAGGCUGUUAAAAAUGUGCAUGUAUAUUUAAUGAUUCAGUGGUUUUAAUGUAUAAGACAAGAUUGAAAAAUAUUUACAUUUAAAAAAUGUAUUACAGUAAAAGACA